rnacentral:rRNA from 1 species
AUUGAACGCUGGCGGCAGGCCUAACACAUGCAAGUCGAGCGGAUGAAGGGAGCUUGCUCCUGGAUUCAGCGGCGGACGGGUGAGUAAUGCCUAGGAAUCUGCCUGGUAGUGGGGGAUAACGUCCGGAAACGGGCGCUAAUACCGCAUACGUCCUGAGGGAGAAAGUGGGGGAUCUUCGGACCUCACGCUAUCAGAUGAGCCUAGGUCGGAUUAGCUAGUUGGUGGGGUAAAGGCCUACCAAGGCGACGAUCCGUAACUGGUCUGAGAGGAUGAUCAGUCACACUGGAACUGAGACACGGUCCAGACUCCUACGGGAGGCAGCAGUGGGGAAUAUUGGACAAUGGGCGAAAGCCUGAUCCAGCCAUGCCGCGUGUGUGAAGAAGGUCUUCGGAUUGUAAAGCACUUUAAGUUGGGAGGAAGGGCAGUAAGUUAAUACCUUGCUGUUUUGACGUUACCAACAGAAUAAGCACCCGCUAACUUCGUG